rnacentral:rRNA from 1 species
CCUACGGGAGUCAGCAGUGAGGAAUAUUGGUCAAUGUGCGCUAGCCUGAACCAGCCAAGUAGCGUGAAGGAUGACUGCCCUAUGGGUUGUAAACUUCUUUUAUAUGGGAAUCAAGUGCAGUAUGUAUACUGCUUUUCAUGUACCUUAUGAAUAAGGAUCGGCUAACUCCGGGCCAGCAGCCGCGGUAAUACGGAGGAUCCGAGCGGUAUCCGGAUUUAUUGGGUUUAAAGGGAGCGUAGGCUGGUGGUUAAGUCAGUUGUGAAAGGUUGGGGCUCAACCGUAAAAUUGCAGUUGAUACUGGCAUCCUGGAGGACAGUAGAGGUAGGCGGAAUUCGUGGUGGAGCGGUGAAAUGCUUAGAUAUCACGAAGAACUCCGAUUGCGAAGGCAGACUGCUGGACUGUAACUGACGCUGAUGCUCGAAAGUGUGGGUAUCAAACAGGAUUAGAUACCCGAGUAGUC